AUCCUAGGGCACACUAGCAACCCUUGCCAAAAAUCUCACCACCCUUCUUGCAAAUUUUGCCACUCAAUUUUCUCUUACCUUUUUCUUAAAUUUUUUCCAAAAUUUUUUCUAUGAUUACUACAUCCCUCCUCUCUGGUUUCAAUCUAAAAUCAUAAUAACAAACUAAGUGGGGCAUCCCAUAUAAAUAGGGGACCAAGGGACAUCACAU
rnacentral:lncRNA from 1 species